rnacentral:rRNA from 1 species
AGAUCCCUGAAAGAUGAUCAGGUAGAUAGGUUCGAGGUGGAAGCAUGGCGACAUGUGGAGCUGACGAAUACUAAUCGAUCGAGGACUUAACCCAACA